GAAUCAGAGGCAGCUGUGCAGUUGCUAAGCCCUGGACGGACAUCUUCUCCGGAGCUGCAGGCUGGCAGGUAAAGGUGAGACGGGAAGGUCUAUGGAAACUUAUAUUUCCCAGUUCCCCUUGGGAUUAGAUGAGGCCAUGGAGCUAGUUCUGGACAGAAAUAUGUCCAGAGGAAAAUAGAGAUCUGAAAAAACAGCCUUAUAUAACCAUUAUGGAUUCCAGUAUAGCUGCAGGCAAUGGCUUAAAACAAAAACAAAAUCCAGAAAAAAUGGAAGCACAACAAAUAGCACUCAUUUCAUACCUCAGGGGCCAGAAGUCUCCUUUGCUGCCUGGAGCUCAGUGAAAUUCUCCGGUGCUUGUGUGCUGACAUGUUCAGCAGACAUUCCUGCCUCUUCUGCCUCAGCUCCUUCAGCAUAAUUAUCCCUGUAUUUAUUUCUUCCCCAUAAAAAUGCACACAGCCUGUCAGUGUCGAGCAAGCCAUGCCGUACUUUGCUCCUGGGGUUUUCUGCACAGAUAUUUUUUCCUUUUGUGGAAAAACAGCAAAUGACAUGAAAUUUUACGUGGACACACAAAUCUACUUUUGGAGGGUGGUGAUGGGGGUGGAGUAGGGAUGGAGGGUGAGAAAGAAAUACUGUCAUUUCAGCUCUAAGCAUAGAUGCGGGACAUGGCCAAGUUCAAUAAGUAGUGGUCAAUUGCUGUACGCCUGAAGCUAACACAACAUUGUUAAUCAACUCUGCUC
ensembl:lncRNA